GUCUUGAUAGCUUAAUAUAAAGCAUCGGUCUUGUAAGCCGAAGACUGGAGGCUAACCCCUCCUCAAGACUUCCCUUAAAACUU
rnacentral:tRNA from 1 species